ACACUGGCACAUACAAACACAGAUAUACACACCUUGAUACACUGACACAUACAAACACAGAUACACACACUUUGACACAGAUACACACACCUUGACACACAGAUACAUUCACAUACACGCUGUGUGUCAAGGUGUGUGUAUCUGUGUGUCAGUGUGUGUAUCUGUGUGUCACUAUGUGCCAGUGUGUGUGUGUGUUUCAGAUACAUACACAGAUACACAUUGACACACACACACUGGCACAUACAAACACAGAUACACACACCUUGACACACAGACACACACCAGCACAUACAAAAAAACAGUGCAAUUAUUUAUUUUUAUAUUUUACCGGUCGUGUAUCUGUGUGUGUGUGUGUGUAUGUAUGUAUCUGUGUGUCAAAGUGUGUGUAUCUGUGUUUGUAUGUGUCUGUGUAUCAAGGUGUGUGUAUCUGUGUUUGCAUGGGCCAAUGUGUAUGAAUCUGACACACAGAUACACACACACUGGCACAUAGUGGCACAGAUACACACACAGAUACACACACCUUGACACACAAAAGGCAUCAUGUGACAGCAAAGUCACCCCAAAAUGGAAAUAAGUUACAUUUCACUUCCACUGUUUUGUUCAAACCAGUGUAUGCUGAAGUAGUGUUUAC